rnacentral:ncRNA from 1 species
ACGAAACUCUGGAGAGACUCUUUUUUUAUAAAAGAGCACCGAAGGAGCAAGUUGGAAUAUUCCAAUGAAACUCUCAGGUAAAAGGACAGAGCGUAGA